CUUGCAAAUAUCAUUAAUAGGUUAACAUACCCUUCUGAACAUGUCAUCAUGUCAGCCUCUCUGUCAUUUUAAGAUGGAGCAGCGUCUGUCUCCAAGUCUCUCCUCUGUGUCUUAACAUUUUAAAAAGUACACCUAUUUAUACCUUAGGUGUCUCCAUUUUAGGGUUACCGUAGUUCAUAUAUGAAAAAGUAACACUUAUUUUACUUUAUUCAUUUUAGGACCUCC